rnacentral:lncRNA from 1 species
AUUUUAUACUCUAUGCUCGGUGCGCCGUCUCCAUGCAGAUGGCAGCACUGUAGGACAGUUGCUAUUGGUAAUAUCGUGAAUUUGCCUCCGUUUCUCAGUCUCCAUGGCUUCUGUGGUGUCAAGUCCCCUAGAAUCAUGCAGCGGUUUUGCCACCUCUGCGUCUUUCCAUCGUGUAUCCAGGUCAUUCUCAUGUGCUUUCGUAGUGAGAGCCGUGGUGGGCCUUCCGGCUUUGGGGUCAGCUUUGUGCUUACCAAGCCUGGUGUCCGGCCCUCUCCUCGUGCUGCCAGUAUAGCACUGUAGUUUGGCCUCAUCUUUGUUGGGUAUCGGUGUUUCAUGUACUCCCGCUUUCCUACCAGCCUCCAUUCUAUCCUUAACAUUGUGGA